UACGUAGGGGGCAAGCGUUGUUCGGAAUUACUGGGCGUAAAGGGCGCGCAGGCGGCUGCUCAAGUCAGGCGUGAAAGGCCUGGGCUCAACCCGGGAAUUGCGCUUGAGACUGGGCUGGCUUGAGUGCGGGAGAGGAUGGUGGAAUUCCCAGUGUAGAGGUGAAAUUCGUAGAUAUCGAGAGGAACACCGGUGGCGAAGGCGGCCAACUGGACGAAUACUGACGCUGAGACACGAAAGCGUGGGGAGCAAACAGG
rnacentral:rRNA from 1 species